GCUGGGUGCAGUGGCACACUCCUGUAAUCCCAGCAGCUUGGGAGGCUGAGGCAGGAGGAUUACAAGUUCAAAGCCAACCUUGGAAAAAGUGAGGCACUAAGCAAUUCAGUGAGACCCUGUCUCUA
rnacentral:sRNA from 1 species